rnacentral:rRNA from 1 species
GGCGAACGCUGGCGGCGUGCUUAACACAUGCAAGUCGAACGGUGAAGCAGAGCUUGCUCUGUGGAUCAGUGGCGAACGGGUGAGUAACACGUGAGUAACCUGCCCUUGACUCUGGGAUAAGCGUUGGAAACGACGUCUAAUACCGGAUACGAGCUGAGACCGCAUGGUCAUCAGUUGGAAAGAUUUUUUGGUCAAGGAUGGACUCGCGGCCUAUCAGCUUGUUGGUGAGGUAAUGGCUCACCAAGGCGACGACGGGUAGCCGGCCUGAGAGGGUGACCGGCCACACUGGGACUGAGACACGGCCCAGACUCCUACGGGAGGCAGCAGUGGGGAAUAUUGCACAAUGGGCGCAAGCCUGAUGCAGCAACGCCGCGUGAGGGAUGACGGCCUUCGGGUUGUAAACCUCUUUUAGUAGGGAAGAAGCGAAAGUGACGGUACCUGCAGAAAAAGCACCGGCUAACUACGUG